AAUUUGCCAUAGUAAAAUUGGUGGUCUCCUCUAAUGGGGAGAAUCAUAGUUAGAUUGGACCUCCUUCCCUUACACUCCAAGCAGGUUUUCUCAAGUGGGUUGAUUCAACUCCCUAAAUCCACUCACCAGGAGUUAAGCAAACAACCUCUGAAAGAUACCUCCUAGUGAAUGGAAGAAAAAGACUGCAAGCAACUGUAGAAGGUGCAGCAAACAAAGCAACUGGGAUAUGGCUGGAGUUUGAAUCUGCUUUCCCCUUUUCACCCAAGACUAUGAGAAUUCAGGGAAAAUAUUGCAAGUGCCUGAAAAAUUUAGUAGAUGUAGUUUACUUGUUAUGGAGUCAAGACAGCGAGAAAGAAAGAGAGGUUUUUAGAGGCUCAAAUAUACACAUGUGUCUUGGGACAUGCCCUCAGAAACUCCAAACCUGCCAGUAACAUAGUGCUACAGAAACUGCUAAGCCCAACACAUCACAGAAGGUGUUUUAUGCUGUGCAUCUACCAGUUACAAUUAAUGCCUCAGCCUGUGUAAAAUGCUGGCUCCAGGUGCCUCUCUGGAAGAGUCCUCCGAGAAUGGAAAGUUUGGCUUUUCCCUGCAACCAAAGGCCAAGGAAGAGAAAGGAAGAUAUCAGUUCCCAAACAUUCCCACCAGCUUCUCCUCUUUGGACCUACCAUCAACACUGUAGACCUUCAGGCCUGCCAUGUGCUUUGCUGCCCGUGCUUUAGAAGCCGUUAACAACAUUGGAUUAUAGACUGCAAAGUCUCUGUAGUAAUUUUCCAGGAUAACUAAAGCAGCCCGCUGGAUGCUGGAAAAGAGAAAUCGGAAGAAACAGAUUCUUAAGGUGCAUUCAAAGGAGACAUCUCCACACAGGUGCUGACAACAGUUUCCAUGGGUCCACUGUACUCUGGUAAACAUGUCUGGCUGCAAAGACGCCCACUGGGCUGUGGACAAAUUUUGAAACUUUUGACAAGUUUUGAAAAAAAUGCUUUGAGUCCUCACAAAGUAUUUGCUGUGGCAAGCAUAAUUGGUCUCAGUCUCUCUCUCACACACACACAUGCAUAGACAUUUCACAGGAAGGCAAACUUGCAAUGUUAAAAGAAAGAUAAUAUUCCUAAGAACCUGAACACAACACAAAGAUGUAUUCUAAACCAUGGGUCCCAAUCCUAGAUGGGGUUCCCUCAGGUCAAAGUUUGGGUCAUGAAAAAUUUGACAAUAGAAGCUUCUGAAUGCUUCCUAGUUAUGUACAUGAACCUAUAAGCAACAACAUACAGUGUUUACAGUGGACUCUGCCAAAAAUGCUUCGGCUGUACUGCCCCAAAAAUAAAAUCAACCUGUUUAGCAA